UGCAGCUAUAUUUGUCUAUUAUUUUUUGUUAUUUAUGAAAUUAUAUUUAUGCAGAUUUGUUUCCGAUCUAAAUUUAAAGAAUGAAUUCCCUUUAUUUAAAAAGUUUUCUAACUAUCCAAACAAUAAAUUAAUACUUUGCUUUUCUAAAAGAAAUGUCUCAAGAUGACAGCGGUCGUACCAGACUGCACACCACUGAAUCUCCCCGAAGUCACAAUGAACCAGAGCGAAAAAACCCACCACAAGAUCAGACAACACUUCAGAUUCCUAUCAUUAUGUUAAGUCUGUUGACUGUUGUGCUGUUUGCUGCAGUAAUAGGUUUAUUAAUGAUGAACCAUAAACUGUCUAAGAAAAUUCCUAAAUAUGUCAAUGCUCAUCAG